AACAAUGUCACGGAGUUUAAAAAGCUGGCUCCACCAACUUUCAAGGGGACCACUGAAUCUGUGGAAGCUAACAAUUGAUUAUGGAGGUGGAGAAGGUAUUUGCUAUUCAAGUAUCUCGCGAUAAUAAAAAGAUCCGUUAUACAGCACAUUUGUUAUGAGAUGAAGCAUACAACUGGUGGUGGAUAUUAAAAUAGAAAUAUAAACAAGAUGGAGAAUCACUCUUCAAAGUGUGAGAACAU
rnacentral:lncRNA from 1 species